UUAAUAGGUGAGAUUUACGGUUUCUUUGUCUUUGAACAGACAAAGGAUGAAAAGAGAAUCCGGUGAAAAUCCGGAACAGUCCCCACUACUGUAACGUGGACGAGAAAAUAUAAAGCCACUGGAUUUAUAUCUGGGAAGGUAUUUUCGAGGAGGAAGCGAAGUCAGGAGACCUGCCGUAAUGGAGAAAAAGAGA
rnacentral:ncRNA from 24 species